AGAGUUUGAUCCUGGCUCAGGACGAACGCUGGCGGCGUGCUUAACACAUGCAAGUCGAACGGAAUCCAUGGUGUAGCAAUACACCGGAAGAUUUAGUGGCGAACGGGUGAGGAUCACGUGAGAAACGUGCCCCAGACUCUGGGAUAACAAUUGGAAACGAUUGCUAAUACCGGAUGACGUCGGAGAAUCGCAUGAUUCACUGACGAAAGAUAUUUCGGUUUGGGAGCGUCUCGCGGCCUAUCAGCUUGUUGGUGGGGUAAUGGCCUACCAAGGCAACGACGGGUAGCUGGUCUGAGAGGAUGAUCAGCCACACUGGGACUGAGACACGGCCCAGACUCCUACGGGAGGCAGCAGUGGGGAAUCUUGCGCAAUGGGCGAAAGCCUGACGCAGCAACGCCGCGUGCGGGAUGAAGGCCUUCGGGCUGUAAACCGCUUUCAGCAGGAACGAAAAUGACGGUACCUGCAGAAGAAGGAGCGGCCAACUACGUGCCAGCAGCCGCGGUGACACGUAGGCUCCAAGCGUUGUCCGGAUUUAUUGGGCGUAAAGAGCUCGUAGGCGGUUGAGUAAGUCGGGUGUGAAAACUCUGGGCUUAACCCGGAGACGCCAUCCGAUACUGCUCUGACUAGAGUUCAGGAGGGGAGUGGGGAAUUCCUAGUGUAGCGGUGAAAUGCGCAGAUAUUAGGAGGAACACCGGUGGCGAAGGUGCCACUCUGGACUGAAACUGACGCUGAGGAGCGAAAGCAUGGGUAGCAAACAGGAUUAGAUACCCUGAUAGUCCAUGCCGUAAACGGUGGGCACU
rnacentral:rRNA from 1 species